AUUGAACGCUGGCGGCAGGCUUAACACAUGCAAGUCGAGCGAGCGGCGGACGGGUGAGUAAUGUCUGGGAAACUGCCUGAUGGAGGGGGAUAACUACUGGAAACGGUAGCUAAUACCGCAUACCAUCAGAUGUGCCCAGAUGGGAUGAGCGAGUAGGUGGGGUAAUGGCUCACCUAGGCGACGAUACCUAGCUGGUCUGAGAGGAUGACCGGCCACGCUGGAACUGAGACACGGUCCAGCACCCUACGGGGUGCAGCAGUGGGGAAUAUUGCACAAUGGGCGCAAGCCUGAUGCAGACAUGCCGCUUGUUUGAAGAAGGCCUUCGGGUUGUAAAGAACUUUCAGCGAGGAGGCGUGACUCGCAGAAGGAGCACAGACUAACUCCGUGACAACAGCCGCGGUAAUUC
rnacentral:rRNA from 1 species